rnacentral:rRNA from 1 species
AUUGAACGCUGGCGGCAGGCCUAACACAUGCAAGUCGAGCGAGCGGCGGACGGGUGAGUAAUGUAUGGGGACUGCCCGAUAGAGGGGGAUAACUACUGGAAACGGUAGCUAAUACCGGAUACUCUCGGAUAACCCAUAUGGGAUUAGCUAGUAGGUGAGGUAAUGGCCCACCGAGGCGACGAUCCCUAGGUGGUCGGAGAGGAUGAUCAGCCACACUGGGACUGAGACAAGGACAAUCAUCCUACGGCGGCCGUAUGGGGGAAAAUUGUGCAAGGGGAGCAGGCCUGAUGCAGCCAUGCCGCGUGUAUGAAGAAGGCCCUAGGGUUGUAAAGUACUUUCAGUCGGGAGGAGUUACCGACAGAAGAAGCACCUGCUAACUCCGUGCCAGCAGCCGCGGUAAUUC